rnacentral:pre_miRNA from 7 species
UUUCGAGGUUCCUGGGUGUCACACAGAUCUCGCUGGGGCCUCCAAAUGAUAGAACCUAGUGGGGAAACCCCCAUUCAAUUCCUGAUUCGGUGUGCAUCCAAAGAAUCAUGAAUAGAC